rnacentral:rRNA from 1 species
UACGAAGGGGGCUAGCGUUGCUCGGAAUCACUGGGCGUAAAGGGUGCGUAGGCGGGUUUUUAAGUCAGGGUGAAAUCCUGGGACGUCAACUCCAGAACUGCCUUUGAUACUGGAGAGCUAGAGUCCGGAAGAGGUGAGUGGAACUGCGAGUGUAGAGGUGAAAUUCGUAGAUAUUCGCAAGAACACCAGUGGCGAAGGCGGCUCACUGGCCCGAUACUGACGCUGAGGUGCGAAAGCGUGGGGAG